CGAUAGAUAAUAAUGAUAAUAUUAUAAAAUGAUAUUAUUAUUAUAUAAAUUAAAUGUGUAUUAAAUAAUAUUUGAUGUAGACAUCUCAGGAGUCCAAUCAAAGAUCAAGAAGUUCAAGGAGUAUCGUGUGAAACUGCUUCUAAUAUGGUUCAUCCUCCGUUAUCAAUACAAACCUUAAUAAUGAAUUUCAAAAUCGUUUUCUAGACGAAACUGCGGAAUCCAUUUUGAGAGCCUUAAUCGUCUUUUUGAAGAAUCAUAUAACCCAGAUAGACCCAGUACUAUUUAUAUGAUUAAUGCUACGUAAGUUUACAUCAGAAUUUUUGUCAAUUGGACUUAGAAUAAUUUUCAAUUUAAAAAACACUUAAAAAAAAAUAUUUUGAAUAAAAAAAACACUUGGAAUAGUUUUGUUAUUUUUCUUCAUUCGACACGAUUACAUCGUACCUUAUCGACAACCAGUUGUUGGGCCACUACAAUAUCAAAAACAUUGCUCUAGACGAUAUUGAACAUACAAAUCAGAAUCUUCUAAUGAACUUGCAAAUUCGUCAGACCAAUUAAACCUAAGAAUGUCUGAAAAUAGAUUUGAUGAUUUGCCUCACUAAACUACUACAGUUUGUUAUAAUUGAUAGUUAGGUACCUUAUUGUAGAAAAAAGAUGAUAAUAUUUAAAAUAUUUCGAUCGGUGAAUACCUUAAAUAAAAAUUGAAAUAUUCAAUUAAAAAACCGGGAAUAUUUAUUAUCCACUUAUAAAUUUGAUAAAGUGUACUUUAAUCUUUUUACAGACGUCCUCAUUUGUAUAUAGUUUGGUAGUAUUUUUAUUGAUUUCUUCAGUCAUCUAAUGCUAAUUUUGUAUAAUCUGCAACAACCUCAUGUUUCAUUUUUCUUAAUAAAUGCCAAAUUCUAGGAUAUUUAAUACCCAAUACCUACCGAUUAAAUGCAAAAAUCUAUUGUUCUUACCUUCUGUGAUAUUAUUUGUUGAAUAUAAAUAAGGAACAAAAAUAUAUAUGGUAAGAAAUAAAACAUUCUUAUAGCAUAAUAAACAGCAUUUUUAUUUUUUAUUUUUUUACAUCAAACGAUUGUAUUGGUAAAGCUUACUUAAGUACAACAAUGUAAUAUAAUCUUAGAAAAUAAACACAAUAAGUUUUAAAGUAUUUAGGACUAGAGUAACACGGUUUUCAAUUAAAUGGUUUGAAGAGAGUGGAAGAUCUUAGAAGAUGUAAUUUAAUACACCCAUUUAAUUUAUUAGAGAUUGAUAGUUAUAUUACCACAUGUUGAACUUUUGGAUGAACAUUUAUAGUGAUUUAUAAAAAGAAUUAUACUGGAAAGUAUAGCUGCACAAGGUUAAGAAAUUUAAAACUAAGUAAAAA